UACAGAGACUGCAAGCGUUAUUCGGAUUCACUGGGCGUAAAGGGUGCGCAGGCGGUUGGGGGUGUCAGAUGUGAAAUCCCGAGGCUCAACCUCGGAACUGCGUCUGAAACUACUCGACUAGAGUACUGGAGAGGGUAACGGAAUUCACGGUGUAGCAGUGAAAUGCGUAGAUAUCGUGAGGAACACCAGAGGCGAAGGCGGUUACCUGGACAGUUACUGACGCUCAGGCACGAAAGCAUGGGGAGCAAACAGG
rnacentral:rRNA from 1 species